rnacentral:miRNA from 1 species
UCGGUGGAGAUGGAUAAAAUGAAU